rnacentral:rRNA from 1 species
CAAUAGCGUAUAUUAAAGUUGUUGCAGUUAAAAAGCUCGUAGUUGGAUUUCUGGUUGAAGCGACCGGUCGGGCGUUGAUUCGUCUGCACUGGAGUCGGUUUUGGCCAUCCUCUAGGAAAGUGCGUCUGGUAUUAAGUUAUCGGGCGUAUGAUCCUGGUCUUUUACUGUGAAAAAAUUAGAGUGUUUAAAGCAGGCCUUCGCCUUGAAUACAUUAGCAUGGAAUAAUAAGAUAGGAAUUUGGUCUAUUUUGUUGGUUUGCAGACCGAAGUAAUGAUUAAUAGGGAUAGUUGGGGGUAUUUAUAUUCCGAUGUCAGAGGUGAAAUUCUUAGAUUUUCGGAAGAUAAACUUAUGCGAAAGCAUUUACCAAGGAUGUUUUCAUUAA